GAGAAGCAAGAGCUCUUUAAGAUUUUGUUGCAGCAUAUACUUAAAAUCUGGCUUGGCCUCAAUUAUAGGAAAGAGCACCUUGGCAUGCGCCUUAAGUCGUGGCCUACAUUUGAGAGGAAAGCUGACCUACAUUCUCGACGGCGACAAUGUUUGACAUGGCCUAAAUAGCGAGGGUUAGUUUUACUGCAAAUGAUCGAGAAGAGAAUAUCCAAAGGAUAGGUGAGGUGGCGAAGCUCUUCGCAGAUGCCGGGAUCAUAUGCGUUGCUUGUUUAAUCUCUCCUUACAGAAAGGACCGCGCCAUGUGCCGUGCACUCUUGCUUAAAGGAGGAUUCAUUGAGGUGUUCAUGGAUGUUCCGCUCCAAAUUUGUGAGGCAAGAGACCCUAAGGGCCUCUACAGACUAGCAAGAGCUGGAAAGAUCAAAGGUAAAGUUCGGAGUUUGGGCGCAUCGCUGCUGUCGGCUGCUUUCUCAUGAUCCAAGGCUUUACAGGCAUAGACGAUCCUUACGAACCACCGCUGGAUGCUGAGAUAGUGCUCCGACAUAAGGGACUGGACUGCGGCUCUCCUCGUGAAUUGGCUGAAGAAGUCAUUCUGUACUUGGAAGAGAGAGGAUACCUAGAGGCCUGAAAGGUCUACCGAUACAUAUAUUGCAAAUUGAGGGAAAACAAAUCACUUCCCAUCAAAGACAAAAGGAAAUGAAAAAGGCACCCUUUCUGGGUUAAUGCCCCUGAUUAUGUAUAACCAAAAUGUAACACAAAAUUGUAAUAACUGUUUCGAUCAAAUGAGCGACAUAGUUAUCCCGACUUUGACAUAGUUUACAAUAGUCAGAUGCAUCACACCUAGGGCAGUCAUGUAAAAGCUGUGCGGUCUGCUAAUUGGAAAAUUCUCCUUUUAGCGUGGAAGAAAAUCAGUUCAUUUCCUGUUUCA